GCGAGCGUUGUUCGGAAUCACUGGGCUUAAAGGGCGCGUAGGCGGGUGCUCAAGUCCGUUGUGAAAUCCUCCGGCUCAACCGGAGAACUGCCUCGGAUACUGGGCGUCUCGAGUGUGGUAGGGGUAUGCGGAACUAUCGGUGGAGCGGUGAAAUGCGUUGAUAUCGAUAGGAACUCCGGUGGCGAAGGCGGCAUACUGGACCACCACUGACGCUGAUGCGCGAAAGCCAGGGGAGCAAACGGG
rnacentral:rRNA from 1 species